GAUGAACGCUAGCGGCAGGCUUAACACAUGCAAGUCGGAGGGGUAACAUUGUGCUUGCACAGAUGACGACCGGCGCACGGGUGCGUAACGCGUAUAGAACCUUACCUUUUACAGAGGGAUAGCCUUUAGAAAUGAAGAUUAAUACCUCAUAGUAUUGAGUAUUCGCAUGAAUAUUUAAUUAAAGAUUUAUUGGUAAAAGAUGACUAUGCGUCCUAUUAGCUAGAUGGUAAGGUAACGGCUUACCAUGGCAACGAUAGGUAGGGGUCCUGAGAGGGAGAUCCCCCACACUGGUACUGAGACACGGACCAG
rnacentral:rRNA from 1 species